GUGGAGGCGUCGUGGUAGUUUGCUCCUGCGAUGACCUUGGAAGCACUCACGUCACUAAAAUAGAUCACUGUGCAGGGGUGUCGUUCAUCGACGUCCCAACCAUUCUUCUCGAUUUUCCUCCCUAUUCCGCUACCUAUAUUUCUCUCAGACGCCAUACAAAACGCGCGUGCGCCCUUCGAACACAAAAACAUAACCACGAUUUUGUGUAAAACCGUGAAACUCUGUAUUUGAUGUCAUUUGAUGUCAUUUGUCAUUUGAACUCUGUCAUUUGACCAUUCAAAAAUCUGUUUCUGGUUGUUCGCACAAAAUAUCACAAAACCAUUUUACGUACACCCAUGAAAUUGAUUAUCCAUUAAAAUUAUACAAAGAAAACGUGUUUUCGCCGUAGUUCAGUUUAUAACGUUUGUCGUACUUGGAAGGUCCGUCAAGACGUUGGUUACCUACGGGAGGCUUAACAGUAACAAUACAGAGAAAAAAGAAGUUGUGGGAGCAGGUACUAGAGAAGUUUACCAAGAUUGAGCGAAACAGCACAAAACGCAUCCGCACGACUGUGUAUCCGCAUUCUGAAAGAUAUUUUACAAUCAGUAUUGCUUAUAUAUAUUUACACUAACUCAUGCUACUACAAAAUUAGUAAUAUAACUAGAUAAAACACUAAAACACUAAUAAAAAAACACAAUAAAACACUAGAUAAAAAGGACGAUAUUGCUAAUGCUAUUAUUCACAAUAAAAAUUCACAAUAAAAAUUAUUCGAAAUUAUAAAUAUGUUGAUGGCUACUAUCUUCGUAUUUAUGUACAUAUUAAUGUUUUAAGCAAGAAAAAUGUUUCUUACUUAAUAAACAUAUUUAUUUGCUAAUA